UCAUUGCAAUCUUGUCAACUGUAAGAGCAAAGUGUAAAGAACUCGUACCUAUGAGCCUUGAUCGAGUUUGUGGUAGCGAUGGAAAAACUUAUUCAAAUAAAUAUAGGCUUGAGAAUAAGAUUGAGUGUUAAAAAGAGAAGAAUAAUGUGACGAGUGUAGAUUUACAUCUCGUACAUCACUGGAGUUGUUUUAUAUGGGAAAAAUAUGGUAUCGGAACAACAUCUUUUAUUCUUAUCACACUGGGUUUGAUUAUUUUUGGUGUGUGCUGGUGUAAAUUUUAUCCCGCCAUACGCAAUAUUUGGAGAAAGGAAGGACUAUUUUUAACAGCUAUGGCAUAAUCAUCUACCUUAGACUGGCUUCGAUUUUCGAAAAAAAAUGGGAUAGGCUUAAAAAUUUUGCGUCAUGUAGAAUUGUAAAAUAUCGUCUAUCUCCUGUAAAAAACCAUAAAUACCAUUGAAUAGCCAUCCAAAAUAAUCAUAUAUGCAUCGAAUUCACAAAACCAAAUGAUGCAUUUGACACAACAAAUGCAAUUUAAAGUUUAGCAGCAGCACAGCAACAAAUGUAUAAUUUACAAAAUCAAAGGAUGAACUCAACACAACAAAUGCAGUAUCAACAACAACUGCAGAAGCAACAAUCAACUGUAUGAGGCUUAAAACAACGUUGAAUCGCUGGCAAUUGGCUCGAUGAUUAUUAUAUAAUCCCCAUCCCAUCAUAAGACAUACCAACGGCCUUGGUGAGACUCACAACCUUACUAUCCCAAACCGGAAACCAUAUUUACACUAUGGCAAAAGGCAAGGGAAAAACUCCAAGCUAAGUUGAAGAAAGAAUGUAAAAGGAAUUAUUGACAAAGAUACUCACGCUGUUUUUUUAAAAUAAGUAUUACUAUUGGAAAAUAUUUCAAUUUAAAUUAUUUUCAUCCCAGAUUUCAAUUUGUUCUUUGUCAAUUUCAAUUUCUUUAUUCAAUAUAUCAUUGUAUCGAAUUUUGUUGCUUUUAUUUAAAAACGUGUACACAUGUUAAAUUUUCAUAGCUUUUUGACCAGCUUACAUUCUUUAGCUUUCAAUUGAAUAAAAAAAGUACAGCACGCGACUAUAAAACACAUACUGUAUAU